ensembl:lncRNA
AUGCUAAGUGGAACAUCUGCCUAUCACUCAUUGUUUUUCUGCUCAUUUAUGCAGGGUUCAUUCAGUGUGAUGGAUGGGGUAAAACCAACAAAAAAAAUUAGUCUUAGUUUAUGGAAGGAAUACAUCCAGCUGGGAACAUCUUACUUUCCUGAGAAUGGACCACUUUGGAAUAUACCACCUCAGCAGACAGCCAAUUCUACUUCCAGAGACACUAAAGGACUUCAGAGCCAGGGUGUGCAGAGGGAAGCUCUACUUCCCAAGGGACCCUCCACCUCCCUGCAGGUAGAGAUCCCUGCUUUGCAGAAAGCCCCUGAGGUCGACCAAGGAGCUUUUGGGAUCCAGCUUAGAAAUGAUGACAGGAGCAAGCCAAAGGGAAACUUUUUCAGAAGAUCCCAACGACAAAACAGCAUGAAAUCAAGACAACUAAUAAGAAUCCUUCUUAGUGGAUAUUUAAGAUCUGAGGGACUGAAGAACAGAAAAGGCAAAUCCUUUAUUUAGAGACUCAGGUCACUUGAUAUUAUGUGAUUUGAAUUUAGGUUUGAGAGGCAGGGGUGGAGGGAAGGGAACGUUAAGAUUGUAUUGCAGCAGAGCAAGGAUCAAGGGUGGCUGCGAUAUGAAAUUUGCUCUAGGCAGAGGAGAAAAUGGAAAUCAAUCAAACUGAAACUGCCACUUGUGCAGCAGCAGAACCUAAAAUACGAGCAAUAGAGGUCCAAGGGGAAAAACAAC